rnacentral:tRNA from 1 species
GGAAUAUAGCUCAGUUGGUAGAGUGCUUGCCUUGCAUGCACAAGGCUCUGGGUUCAAAUUCCAGCACCA